AGAAAUGUAGUUAAUUUAAUAAUAUUUAUUUUGCUAAUAAAAGUAAUUUAUUUAAAAUCAUUUUUA
rnacentral:tRNA from 1 species